rnacentral:rRNA from 1 species
UACAGAGGUCUCAAGCGUUGUUCGGAUUCAUUGGGCGUAAAGGGUGCGUAGGUGGCGUCGUAAGUCAGGUGUGAAAUCUCGGAGCUUAACUCCGAAACUGCAUUUGAUACUGCGGUGCUUGAGGACUGGAGAGGAGACUGGAAUUUACGGUGUAGCAGUGAAAUGCGUAGAGAUCGUAAGGAAGACCAGUGGCGAAGGCGGGUCUCUGGACAGUUCCUGACACUGAGGCGCGAAAGCCAGGGGAGCAAACGGG